AACGCACGAGACCUGCGGACCUGCGGAGGGAUCAUUAAUGAGAAGCUGCCCCUCGCGGGUAGAUCUCCCACCCUUUGUAAACUUACCUUUGUUGCUUUGGCAGGCCCGUCUCCGGACCGCCGGCUUCGGCUGGCCAGUGCCUGCCAGAGGAUUCUAAAACUCUGUCUGUCAGUGUUGUCUGAGUCUAUAUACAAUCGUUAAAACUUUCAACAAUGGAUCUCUAGAUCGGAAGAGCACACG
rnacentral:misc_RNA from 1 species